rnacentral:rRNA from 1 species
UACGUAGGGUGCGAGCGUUGCCCGGAUUUAUUGGGCGUAAAGGGCGCGUAGGCGGCUCGGCACGUCCGUUGUGAAAUCGCCCGGCUCAACUGGGCGGGGUCAGCGGAUACGGUCGAGCUUGAGCAAGCUAGGGGGCAAUGGAAUUCCCGGUGUAGUGGUGGAAUGCGUAGAUAUCGGGAGGAACACCAGUGGCGAAGGCGGUUGCCUGGGAUUUGCUGACGCUGAUGCGCGAAAGCGUGGGGAGCGAGUCCGG